UGGGGAAUAUUGCGCAAUGGGCGAAAGCUUGACGCAGCGACGCCGCGUGGGGGAGGAAGGCCUUAGGGUUGUAAACCCCUGUCAGGUGGGACGAACUCCCUGUCGACUAAUAGGCGGCAGGACUGACGGUACCACCAGAGGAAGCUCCGGCUAACUCCGUGCCAGCAGCCGCGGUAAUACGGAGGGAGCGAGCGUUGUUCGGAAUUACUGGGCGUAAAGGGCGCGUAGGCGGCCUUGUAAGUCGGGUGUGAAAUGCCGGGGCUCAACUCCGUGCACUGCACCCGAUACUGCUUGGCUAGAGAAAGGUAGAGGCGAGCGGAAUUCCCGGUGUAGCGGUGGAAUGCGUAGAUAUCGGGAAGAACAUCUGCGGCGAAGGCGGCUCGCUGGGCCUUUUCUGACGCUGAAGCGCGAAAGCGUGGGGAGCAAACAGGAUUAGAUACCCCCGUAGUCC
rnacentral:rRNA from 1 species